rnacentral:pre_miRNA from 2 species
GCUGCAACAACGGCAGGCGGCGGCAACGGCGGCAGCGCCAGCAACAGCUAGAGUUAUAGGACAGCUGCUGCCGAUGCUGCUGCCGCUGCUGCUGCCCAAACGGAAUUGCAGU